AUAUGAAGCACUGUGUUAGGCACCACUAGAGAAGCACAGAUAAAAUGGAGAAGAUCAGGGAAAGUCUGAAUGAAGGCCAGCAGGCAGUAUCAGCCGAACCAAGAAGGGCCAUAAAGCUGCAGACCAGGAAAUCUGCCCUCUGAGAGCACAGAAUUUAGAAUGGACAGCAAAUUUAGUAAAAGUGUUCCAGCUAGAAGAUUUGGAUGAAAAGUGAUUCCAAAAAAAUGAGGCAAUCUCAUCCCGAAACUAUUUAAAACUACUCUCCUCUCUCUUGAUAAACCGUCAGUAGGAAGUGUGUCGUUUAUUCCCUCACUCCACACUGGAUUCAUAUGGGCUGAUAGCAGCAGGAUUAAAAAUUUUUUUCAUC
rnacentral:lncRNA from 1 species